rnacentral:rRNA from 1 species
ACUCCUACGGGAGGCAGCAGUGGGGAAUCUUGCCCAAUGGGCGAAAGCCUGACGCAGCAACGCCGCGUGAGUGAAGAAGGCCUUCGGGUUGUAAAGCUCUUUCAGCAGGGGUGAAAAAAAUGACGGUACCUGCAGAAGAAGCACCGGCUAACCCUGUGCCAGCAGCCGCGGUAAU